rnacentral:rRNA from 1 species
GGACAAGAGUGACAGGUGGUGCAUGGUUGUCGUCAGCUCGUGUCGUGAGAUGUUGGGUUAAGUCCCGCAACGAGCGCAACCCUUAUCUUCAGUAGCCAGCAAUUCGGUUGGGCACUCUGGAGAGACUGCCAGGGAUAACCUGGAGGAAGGUGGGGAUGACGUCAAAUCAUCAUGCCCCUUAUGAUUUGGGCUACACACGUGCUACAAUGGCGUAAACAAAGGGAAGCAGCCCUGUGAAGGUGAGCAAAUCCCAAAAAUAACGUCUCAGUUCGGAUUGUAGUCUGCAACUCGACUACAUGAAGCUGGAAUCGCUAGUAAUCGCGAAUCAGAAUGUCGCGGUGAAUACGUUCCCGGGUCUUGUACACACCGCCCGUCACACCAUGGGAGUCGGAAAUGCCCGAAGUCAGUGACCCAACCGUAAGGAGGGAGCUGCCGAAGGUGGAGCCGGUAACUGGGGUGAAGUCGUAACAAGGUAGCCGUAUCGGAAGGUGCGGCUGGAUCACCUC